GUCGUGUCAUUGCAUGUAGGACCUACCAAGUCUCUGUACCUGCCGGCGCCACUCCUGCAGAAGGGACUUAACGCGGUGGUGGUGUUCGAGCAGUACACAGCGCCCAAGGAAGUUCGUUUCAGCGACGUUCCCAUACUGUCUUAAACCCCUGUCAAUGUCUGUUUGUCUGUCUCGAUAAUUAUGUCUUAACAAAUACAAGUUAAAUAAUAAAUGCUACUUUGAUUCAAAACUUUAAAA